AACCUGCCCAAGAGAUCGGGAUAACACCUGGAAACAGAUGCUAAUACCGGAUAACAACAGAUGAUGCCUAUCAACUGUUUAAAAGAUGGUUCUGCUAUCACUCUUGGAUGGACCUGCGGUGCAUUAGCUAGUUGGUAGGGUAACGGCCUACCAAGGCGACGAUGCAUAGCCGAGUUGAGAGACUGAUCGGCCACAUUGGGACUGAGACACGGCCCAAACUCCUACGGGAGGCAGCAGAG
rnacentral:rRNA from 1 species